CUACGGGUGGCUGCAGUGGGGAAUAUUGCACAAUGGGCGCAAGCCUGAUGCAGCCAUGCCGCGUGUGUGCAGAAGGCCUUCGGGUUGUAAAGCACUUUCAGCGGGGAGGAAGGCGGUGAGGUUAAUAACCUCAUCGAUUGACGUUACCCGCAGAAGAAGCACCGGCUAACUCCGUGCCAGCAGCCGCGGUAAUACGGAGGGUGCAAGCGUUAAUCGGAAUUACUGGGCGUAAAGCGCACGCAGGCGGUCUGUCAAGUCGGAUGUGAAAUCCCCGGGCUCAACCUGGGAACUGCAUUCGAAACUGGCAGGCUAGAGUCUUGUAGAGGGGGGUAGAAUUCCAGGUGUAGCGGUGAAAUGCGUAGAGAUCUGGAGGAAUACCGGUGGCGAAAGCGGCCCCCUGGACAAAGACUGACGCUCAGGUGCGAAAGCGUGGGGAGCAAACAGGAUUAGAUACCCCAGUAGUC
rnacentral:rRNA from 1 species